rnacentral:rRNA from 1 species
GGUACGACUGUCGGCAACGGAUAUCUCGGCUCCCGCAUCGAUGAAGAACGUAGCGAACUGCGAUACUUGGUGUGAACUGCAGAAUCCCGUGAACCAUCGAGUCUUUGAACGCAAGUUGCGCCCGAAGCCAUCCGGCCGAGGGCACGUCUGCCUGGGCGUCACGC